CCAUGAGACCGAUAGUAAACAAGUACCGUGAGGGAAAGUUGAAAAGAACUCUGAAUAGAGAGUUAAAUAGUACGUGAAACUGCUUAGAGGUUAAGCCCGAUGAACCUGAAUAUCCAUUAUGGAAAAUUCAUCAUUAUGAUUGUGAUAUUAAUAAUAUUAUGAGAAUGGUGUGCAUUUUUUCCAUAUAAGGACAUUGUAAUCUAUUAAUAUUUGAAAUUAUUUAUCAUAAGAUCGAUGACUUAAGUUUAUUCGAAUUAUUUUGCUUGCAUUUUAACAUAGAAUAAGUGUUGUCGAUUUGAUAAAGUGUUGAUAGAUUUAUUAUAUAUAGUGCUUGAAUAUUUUAUAUUCUAUAAUAGCAUGAUAAUCAUUGAUUUUUGUGUUUAUUAUAUGCACUUAUAUGAUUAACAAUGCGAAAGAUUCAGGAUACCUUCGGGACCCGUCUUGAAACACGGACCAAGGAGUCUAACAUAUUUGCAAGUUAUUGGGAAUUAAAA
rnacentral:rRNA from 1 species